GCAUAUCUAACUGGUGACAUACUUAGCUCUACACAACAUUAUACUAACCAUGUAAUACCAAAUUAAACAAAACAGACUAACAUAAUAACUAAAAAUAUAGUGACUAACACAUAAUCAAGCAAACAAAAAAAAACUAAAAUAGAGUGAAAGGAUAGAAGACUAAUAAACCUAACAACCACAAACUAGAAACUGAAACAAGCUGCAUUGAAACCCAAAGUGAGAGAUAUAAGGAUUUCACUGAGUUAUCAUUGGUAGAUGAAGAUGCCUUUUAAUUUCUUCUCAUUAAGUCCACAGAAAAAAUAAAAGGAAGGUCGGGAAAAGAUGAAACAAUUGAAGAUGCAGCACAGUGUGAGACAGUGGAGGAAGCUGGAAUACAAGGUGAAGUUGAGUGCAAACUGGGAGAGGAAGAUGGUACUUUUAGAACAAAAGCGGUGACAUUGCCUGUGAAGGGCACAUGUUCCCUUUGUUAGUAACAGAACAACUAGACUCUUUGACCGAGAAAUAGAUUUGGGAAUGAAAUUGGUGUAAAAUGGGAAGAUGGCACUUUGAGAACAAAGCCGGUGACACUGCCUAUGAAGGCAAUGUGUUUCCUCUGUUUGUAACAGAACAACUAGACUAUUGUCCCGAGAAAGGGAUUCGCGAAAGAACUUGGAUGAGUGUGCACGAAGCAAGAAAAUUUUGCCCAAAUGGGGCCGCAGAACUAUUAGUAAGUCGCCUCACAUCACAAAGCAAACAGACCAAAGGGGAACUAUUUCCAGUAAUCGAACGUAGCUCCGUUGUUUGAGUAGCUAUUCUUCCUUUUAGAUUUGGAGCUCAAAUACUUUCUCUGCCCCUUCCAAGUUCUACUGAAGAAGUGUAGACUUUAUUGAUACCGAUCCACUGUCAAAUCUACAUGUGGUAGAAAUAGUUAGCGGAUAGGAACUAAUUACUAAAAUUGGUCAAUCUAGCAGGUGGAUUAAAUAGUUCACAGCAACUCCAUUGUUAAGGGAACAACGAAAAAAAGUACUGGAAGUAUAAUUUUUGUUAUCUCAGAAUUGGAGUUGUGUGACAUAAUAGAUAAUUAGAAUCAGAGCUAUCAAAGGAGGUGAACAUGUACAUAGCUACCAGAUAUAUUGAUGUUGGAAAAUAACUGCAUCGAAUUAUUGGAUUUUCUCUUGAUUUUCUAAUUAUUUUUCCCUAGAUCUCUAGCAUUCUUUAAUUCUUCAUAUUGCUGGCAAAGCUAGAAGGUUACAGUCAUUUAUCAUAACAUUCAGAAGGUCUAAUAGGUUUUAAUUUUGCUUGAAUAUUACGCAUUCAGAUGAUAAAAAAAGUUGCACAGGAUUUUUUUAGUAUCAAGCUUACUCUGGAAGCCAUUAUUUUGCAUUUUUUAGGACCAAGUUUCAGAUUUUGACUUUGUUGUUUAUAUGAUUUAUGUGGAAAGAUGUAUUUUUUUUUGUUAAGGUUGUAGUCACUUUAUUAACUAUACCUGUUCCCCUGGUCAUGUCUUCUGCUGAUGUAUACCCUACCAAUAUAAAUAUUUCACCGUGUUAUCAUUGGUGGAUGAAGAUGCCUUUGAUGUUUGUCUAAUAAGUCCACACAGAAAAGGCAAAGGGUUGUUAUUUCCCAAAGGUAGCGACUGAUCCAUGGGUUUAAAACUUCUUAAUAUUUCCCAAAAAAGGUAUCAUUUUGAUGCUCUCUCUGAUUGUUAUAUUAGAGCUUAUCUCUUUUUUAAAUACAUCUCUCUUGUUCUAACAGGGAGGUCGGGAAAAAGACGAAACAAUCAAAGAUGCAGCAGAACGUGAGCUAGUGGAGGAAGCUGGAGUAUGAGGGGAUGUUAAGAGCAAACUGGGAAGAUGGUACUUUAGAAUGGAAAUGUUGACACUGCCUAUGAAGAGAACAUGUUUCCUCUGUUUGUAACAGAACAACUCUUGGCCUGAGAAAGAGACUCAUGAAAAAACUUGAUGAAUGUGCGUGAAGCCAGAGAACUUUGCCAAAAUGGGUGCAUGAAAGAGGCCGUAGAGCUAUUAGUAAGUCGCUUAACAUCACUGAGCAAGCGGACCAAAGGGGAAUUAUUUCCAGGAAUAGAACGUACCUCCAGUGGUAGAGCAACUAUUCUUCCUUUGGCAUGUAGAGAUCGAGAAGCGUAGACUCCAUUGAUAUCCGCUGUCAAAUCUAAAUACUAGAAGAAGUUUAUGAAUAUGAAUCACUGAAAAUGGUUAAUCUAGCAUGCGGAUUAAGUAGUUCAGAUCAACUCCAAUUUUAAGGAAACAAAGAAGUACGAAAUGUAGUCAUAAUAGUACACUGUUUGAUUGUUAUCUCAGAACUGGAAUAAUUAGUAGUAACCUACAAAUAAGCUUAAUGAAGUAAUGAUCAUUUGUAAAUAGCUACUUGAAACAGUGGUGUUAGAAAAUUAUUGCAUUUAGUUAUUGAAUGUUCUCUUUGAUUUCUAAGCUUAAUGAAGUAAUGAUCAUUUGUAAAUAGCUACCUGAAACGGUGGUGUUAGAAAAUUAUUGCAUUUAGUUA